AUACGGAGGGUGCAAGCGUUAUCCGGAAUCAUUGGGUUUAAAGGGUCCGUAGGCGGGCGAUUAAGUCAGAGGUGAAAUCCCACAGCUCAACUGUGGAACUGCCUUUGAUACUGGUUGUCUUGAGUUACAGUGAAGUAGAUAGAAUGUGUAGUGUAGCGGUGAAAUGCAUAGAUAUUACACAGAAUACCGAUUGCGAAGGCAGUCUACUAACUGUAUACUGACGCUAAUGGACGAAAGCGUGGGGAGCGAACAGGAUUAGAAACCCUAGUAGUCC
rnacentral:rRNA from 1 species